CAUUAUUCCAUCCACCCCCACCCCUAAAAGAAGUCCAUCAAUGCAAAUUGUCAUCUUAAUUUCACCAAUUUUAUGUUUCAUUUAGCAUUGAAGAUUGCAAAUUAUGAAGCACGGUUUACGUGCAUUGCCGUACAUGCUCACCUUUUAUAUUGAGAGUAACGAAUUAAUUGGCUUCUUUGCGCAGAUCUUGUUCUCAAAGAUAAGAUUUUUGUUUAUGAUCUAGCUCGCCAACGGCUCGGGUGGACUAAUUAUGAUUGUUCAACGUCCGUAAAUGUCUCCAUAACUACUGCCAAAGAUGAAUUCAUCAACGCUGGGCAGUUGAGUGUGAGCAUCUCAUCAAGAAAUGCCCUCUUCAAGUUAAUACCAAUGAGCAUUACUCUCUUUAUGCACUUCUCACUGUUCAUCGGGUUCCUCUUGUUGUAACUUAAAUCUGCUACUUGAAACCCUAUUCUUUGCCCCGACAUCUAUUGGCUUUGCUGAUUUUAUUUAUUAACAAUCAGCCAGGCAUUGUGGUAUUGUUCUGAUUCCUGCAAGUAGCUCAUUCCUGUGCUCAUUCUUUUCCUGACCUCAUUCCGGUUAAUUAACUGAUGAAUUCGGUCCCUUAUCGUAUUCAACUCUGAGUAUAAAUUCCUCUUUCUCUUGUAUAAGGGUCUUGUCUUGAGCACUUCCAGCAUUGUUAAUUAUAUCAGUAGUACAUGAUUGAGGUUUGUAGAAUGAAAUUGCGGGCAUUUGGAGGUAAAACAUGGCAGUUUGUAGUGAUUGAUUUCCAGUUUAGCAUGAAUUGUAUAAAUAAGGUUUUAGUUUUUAUAGCUGGUUUGUUUUUGUAAGA